rnacentral:rRNA from 1 species
ACGAACGCUGGCGGCGUGCCUAACACAUGCAAGUCGAGCGGUUCAUUGUGUAACACUGUGUACAUCGGAAGGUGUGCAGAGUGUUACACAAUGGAUAGCGGCGGACGGGUGAGUAACGCGUGAGUAAUCUGCCUUGUACAGGGGGAUAACACAGGGAAACUUGUGCUAAUACCGCAUAAAGUAGAGGUGUGGCAUCACACAAUUACCAAAGGAGAAAUCCGGUAUAAGAUGAACUCGCGUCCGAUUAGCUAGUUGGUGGGGUAAAGGCCUACCAAGGCGACGAUCGGUAGCCGAACUGAGAGGUUGAUCGGCCACAUUGGGACUGAGACACGGCCCAGACUCCUACGGGAGGCAGCAGUGGGGAAUAUUGCGCAAUGGGGGAAACCCUGACGCAGCAACGCCGCGUGAAGGAUGAAGGUCUUCGGAUUGUAAACUUCUUUGAUGAGGGAAGAAAAAAUGACGGUACCUCAAAAACAAGCCACGGCUAACUACGUG